rnacentral:tRNA from 1 species
AAGCCUGGGCACACGUUCGUGUGAUGGUCUAGAUUUGCAUUAUAGUGUGAGACACCGCAAGGC